CUUCCCUGAUAAUGAGCAAAGAGAUACAGUGUUGCUGGUACUCUUCUUAUAUCAUGUAGAGACAGAGCAGAUAGUAAUCCUUAGAUCAUGCUAUCUUGAUGCCUAGCUUGGUGGUCAAAGCUGUCUUAUGCCUAGGACUCAUAA